rnacentral:rRNA from 1 species
AUUGAACGCUGGCGGCAGGCCUAACACAUGCAAGUCGAACGGUAACAGGAAACUGCUUGCUGUUUCGCUGACGAGUGGCGGACGGGUGAGUAAUGUCUGGGAAACUGCCUGAUGGAGGGGGAUAACUACUGGAAACGGUAGCUAAUACCGCAUAACGUCGCAAGACCAAAGAGGGGGACCUUCGGGCCUCUUGCCUUCAGCUGUGCCCAGAUGGGAUUAGCUAGUAGGUGGGGUAACGGCUCACCUAGGCGACGAUCCCUAGCUGGUCUGAGAGGAUGACCAGCCACACUGGAACUGAGACACGGUCCAGACUCCUACGGGAGGCAGCAGUGGGGAAUAUUGCACAAUGGGCGCAAGCCUGAUGCAGCCAUGCCGCGUGUAUGAAGAAGGCCUUCGGGUUGUAAAGUACUUUCAGCGGGGAGGAAGGGAGUAAAGUUAAUACCUUGGCUCAUUGACGUUACCCGCAGAAGAAGCACCGGCUAACUCCGUG